AGUGAACGCUGGCGGUAGGCCUAACACAUGCAAGUCGAACGGCAGCACAGUAAGAGCUUGCUCUUACGGGUGGCGAGUGGCGGACGGGUGAGGAAUACAUCGGAAUCUACUUUUUCGUGGGGGAUAACGUAGGGAAACUUACGCUAAUACCGCAUACGACCUACGGGUGAAAGCAGGGGAUCUUCGGACCUUGCGCGAUUGAAUGAGCCGAUGUCGGAUUAGCUAGUUGGCGGGGUAAAGGCCCACCAAGGCGACGAUCCGUAGCUGGUCUGAGAGGAUGAUCAGCCACACUGGAACUGAGGCAAGGUCCAGACUCCUACGGGAGGCAGCAGUGGGGAAUAUUGGACAAUGGGCGCAAGCCUGAUCCAGCCAUACCGCGUGGGUGAAGAAGGCCUUCGGGUUGUAAAGCCCUUUUGUUGGGAAAGAAAAGCAGCAGGUUAAUACCCCGCUAUUCUGACGGUACCCAAAGAAUAAGCACCGGCUAACUUCGUG
rnacentral:rRNA from 1 species